rnacentral:tRNA from 1 species
GAGGGAUGGGUGAGUGGUUGAAACCGACGGACUUGAAAUCCGUUAAGGCGGCAACGUCUUCGGGGGUUCGAAUCCCUCUCCC